UACGGAGGGUGCAAGCGUUAUCCGGAUUCACUGGGUUUAAAGGGAGCGUAGGUGGCUUUGUAAGUCAGUGGUGAAAUCUUAGAGCUUAACUCUAAAACUGCCAUUGAUACUGCUUAGCUUGAAUCACGUCGAGGUGGAUGGAAUAUUACAUGUAGCGGUGAAAUGCUUAGAUAUGUAAUAGAACACCGAUUGCGAAGGCAGUUCGACUAGGCGUGUAUUGACACUGAGGCUCGAAAGCGUGGGGAUCAAACAGG
rnacentral:rRNA from 1 species